UGGGGUAUAGCCAAGCGGUAAGGCAUCGGUUUUUGGUACCGACAUUCGGUGGUUCGAAUCCAUCUACCCCAGCCA
rnacentral:tRNA from 1 species